GAUGAACGCUGACAGAAUGCUUAACACAUCAGCAAUGGAUUGAUGGCGGACGGGUGCGUAACGCGUACAGAACUUGCAUCUCAGGUAGGGACAACAUUUGGAAACGAAUGCUAAUACCUAAUACUGUGCGAGAGCUUUGCGUCCCAUUAGCUGGUUGGAGAGGUAACGUCUCACCAAGGCGAGGAUGGGUGGCCGGCCUGUGAGGGUGAUCGGCCCCAAGGGGCUAGGGACACGGCCCUUGCUGCUACGGGAGGCAGCAGUGAGGAUCUUACGACAAUGGGCCAAAGUCUGAUGAAGCAAUUCUGUGUGUAAGAUGCUGUUGUCGGAAUGAAAAGGGCUUUCAGUUUGCAAGCGUUACCAACAGAAGAAGUGCCGGCUAAAUCCGUGCCAGCCGCCGCGGUAAUAC
rnacentral:rRNA from 1 species